GAUGAACGCUGGCGGCAUGCCUAAUACCUGCAAGUCGAGCGCACGGACGCGAAGCUUGCUUCUCUGAUGUUAGCGGCAGACGGGUGAGUAACACGUAGAUAACCUACCUAUAAGACUGGGAUAACUUCGGGAAACCGGAGCUAAUACCGGAUAAUAUUUUGAACCGCAUGGUUCAAAAGUGAAAGACGGUCUUGCUGUCACUUAUAGAUGGAUCCGCGCUGCAUUAGCUAGUUGGUAAGGUAACGGCUUACCAAGGCAACGAUGCAUAGCCGACCUGAGAGGGUGAUCGGCCACACUGGAACUGAGACACGGUCCAGACUCCUACGGGAGGCAGCAGUAGGGAAUCUUCCGCAAUGGGCGAAAGCCUGACGGAGCAACGCCGCGUGAGUGAUGCAGUUCUCCCUUUCGUAACACUCCGCUAUUCGGGUCUAACAUAUGUGUAUGGCUCAGGUGAGAGUUUGACUGCACCGAUGCAGAAAGCCCAGGCCUGGUAUUUG
rnacentral:rRNA from 1 species